rnacentral:rRNA from 1 species
GGGUAGACCUCCCACCCUUUGUAUACCUUACCUUUUGUUGCUUUGGCGGGCCGCCUAGCUACUGGCUUCGGCUGGUAAGUGCCCGCCAGAGGACCCAAACCCAAACCCAUUUAUAGUGUCGUCUGAGAAAAAGUUUAAUAUUUAAAACUUUCAACAACGGAUCUCUUGGCUCUGGCAUCGAUGAAGAACGCAGCGAAAUGCGAUAAGUAAUGUGAAUUGCAGAAUUCAGUGAAUCAUCGAAUCUUUGAACGCAGAUUGCGCCCCUUGGUAUUCCGAGGGGCAUGCCUAUUCGAGCGUCAUUAUCACCCCUCAAGCUCCGGCUUGGUGUUGAGGCCUGCUGUAAAGGCACCCUCUAAAAUCAGUGGCAGUGCCGUCAGGCUCUAAGCGUAGUAAUUUCAUCGCUAUAGACCCGAGCGGACCCUCGCCAGAAACCCCCCAUUUUUUAAUGAUUGACCUCGGAUUAGGUAGGGAUACCCGCUGAACUUAAGCAUAUCAAUAAGCGGAGGAA